rnacentral:rRNA from 1 species
GUCUACGCAAACUUUACGUGUACAUGUGCAACAAAAAACAAAAGUUUUGAUAAGCAGAGUCAGGCCUGGUUAAUACUUGGAUGGGAGACCACCUAGGAAGACCAGGUGCUGUAGGCU